ACCUACAACGGCCCUAAUACAUGUAUUCAGCACUCAUGCUAUACACUCUCUCUCUCUCACACACACACACACACACACACACACACACACACACACACACACACACACACACACAGAGUAAUGUCAAUACUAUACAACUAACAAUAUUAUAUCUAUCAUACCCAUGUGACUGAUAACCAUCAGUUCAGAAGGUUUCUUUUUAUCAUAAUAUUUUUGACAGCACAAAUAGUAAACCUUGGGAGAUUUCAGGCUGCACUGAUGAACACUGAACUCCAAACACCGACGGCUUAAACUGAAACUGUAUACACAACAUGGCUGAUGAUUGCUUCACUGCAAUGCUGAACAUUUAAUUAGAAGUGUACACAAGACACACGAGUGUAACAGUGCUACAACACACCUCAGGACUGCUCACAGUAUCGAAAACACACUCUUCUCAACAGCUAUACGUAUGACUAACUUAUUACCGACUCAAACACACAUAAUACCACAAUAUGGCUGUACUUCCUGUGUGAUCAGAUUUAUGUGUUUACAUAAAGUAAUCUGUGACAGUUUAACUGCUCGGCACCUGUCCCCUUUCCUCUUUCUUUCUAUUAAGCUGAAUGAGCCGUCCUGUCCCUGUUCCUCUCUGUGUAUCAGUUUAAACCAAAUCCAGCACACAAGCAAUCUCUGGAUUUCUACAUCUAGUAGAAUUGCUUCAGCAUUGCAUCAUGAGUCGCCCUGAAGCCACUCAUAGCAUGCAGAAUUCAUGACGAUGAUCCAACUAAGAGCAAGGAAAUGACUCAAAACAUCCCAGUGAGUUUGGAUCACAGUAUCCUGGGGGCCCGGCUGGUCCUACUGGUCCGGGAAUGCCCGGUCUGCCGGGAGCACCAGGGUUGCCAGGACGACCAGAUGGGCCAGGGCUGCCUCUUCUUCCCUCACCAGGCAAAUGUAAAAACCUGUGAUGGGAUCCCACACAUCAAACAAAUGGCAGUUUCAGAAUAUUUUUACAACAAUGUAGACAAGAUCGGGAGCUCAGAGAUAUAAAUAUUACAAGACUCUAAAAACAUUUUAAUACCUGAAUUAAAAGUGUUCGGUCUGCUGAGUCAUGUGGAACAAAAGCCUUCACCCGAUCAUGGGGAGUUUGAAUUCUAAGGAUGCCACAGCUGUCCGUCUCCAGAGCAUAAUUAUCUGUGCUUUCUGAAUGGGAGUGAUGGCGUGACUUGUUUGCCUGUCAAUCACAGUGACACUAAAAAAUACUGGGCUUUCACAUUUUGAGCUUUUCUCUGAGUGUGUUCAGCUGUGAUGGGUUCAUGUAUCUUGGGUGCAAUCUAGAUAUUUAUGCAUAUUCUGUAUUUUGUAUAUUCUACAGUGUACAGUGUCUUGCAAAAGUAUUCAUCCCCCUUUGUGUUGGUUCUGUUUUGUCGCAUUACAAACUGGAAUGUAGAACCAGAGCAAGUGGGUGGAGCACAGAAGCAUGGCAAGCCAGAACUGAGUUCUCAGAAACUUUUUAUUUUCUGUUUUAUAGGUGGCUUUUCAGCUCAUUCACUCCCACACACACAUGCAUUCGGGUUGGGAGAUAGCUCCCUUUCUCUGCGUGGUCACUGGGGAAGACACACAAACACAGGUUAACUCACAUCAGGUGCAGUGAUUCUGCCACUUACCUUCCCUGACUCCAGUCUCCAUUCACAGACCAACGCUUGACCCCGCCCCUGCUGCCACAUACCCCCAUUGCCCGACUCAGGCCGGGGAGCAGUCCGGCCUGCAGCCACCCCCCCCCCCCCCCCCCCUUGACGGGAGAGGAAAUCCGCCACGACCAUCUGUGCCCCCAGCCUGUGGACCACCUUGAACUUAAAUGGCUGGAGUGCCAGAUACCAACGGGUGAUCCGUGUGUUUGCAUCCUUCAUGCAGUGGAGCCACUGGAGGGGCGCGUGGUCCGAACAGAGGGUGAAAGGGCGUCCCAGUAGGUAGUAGCAGAGGGCGAGAACUGCCCACUUGGUGGCGAGGCACUCCUUUUCUAUGGUGCUGUACCGGCCCUCACGCACCGACAGCUUCCAGCUGAUGUACAGCACUGGAUGAUCCUCCCCCUCCACCUCCUGGGACAGAACAGCCCCCAGCCCUCUGUCCGAUGCGUCCGUCUGCAAAACAAAGGGGAGAGAAAAGUCAAGGGAGUGUAACAGUGGUCCCCCACACUGUGCAGCCUAUACCUCAGAGAAAGCCCACUGGCAUUGCUCCAUCCACUGGACCAGAUCUGGUGCCCCCUUUUUAGUGAGAUCAGUCAGCAGGCUGGUGACGUCUGAAUAAUUAGGUAUAAACCUAUGAUAGUAGCCAGCCAGCCCCAGGAACUGUCUCACCCCCUUUUUGGUCUUGGGCCUCAGGCAGGCCGCAAUUGCUGUUGUCUUAUUAAUUAGGGGACGCACCUGUCCAUUGCCCAAGUGGAAGCCCAGAUACCGUACUUCCACCCACCCAAUCGCACACUUCUUCGGGUUGGCUGUGAGACCCGUUCGCCUCAGUGACCUAAGGAUGGCCCUUAGAUGUUUUAGGUGUCGCGGCCAGUCAUUACUAUAAAUAAUGAUGUCAUUCAAGUAUGCAUCUGCGUAGGUGGCAUGGGGGUGGAGGACCCUAUCCAUAAGCCGCUGGAACAUAGCGGGCGCCCCAAACAGCCCAAAAGGAAGUGUGACGAACUGGUGUAAGCCAAACAGUGUAGAAAAGGCCGUUUUCUCUCGGGAUAACAGAGUCAAGGGGAUCUGCCAAUAUCCUUUUGUCAAAUCCAGUGUCGAAUAAAAACAAGCCAUGCCUAGUCGAUCAAGCAACUCAUCAAUACGAGGCAUUGGGUAUGCAUCAAAUUUAGACACUGCGUUGACUUUUCUAUAGUCCACACAGAACUGGACCGACCCGUCGGCCUUAGGAACCAAGACCACCGGGCUGCUCCAGUCACUGUGGGACUCCUCCACGAUGUCCAUUUCGAGCAUGGCCUUGAGUUCUUCCCGAACCACCUUUUUUUUGUGUUCGGGCAGUCUGUAAGGGUGGCUGUGCACUACCACCCCCGGGGGCAUCUCAAUGUGGUGUUCUAUGAGGUGGGUCCGGCCGGGCAGGGGCGAGAAUAUGUCAGAAAAUUCUGUCUGCAACUGGGUGACCUCCGUGAGUUGGGUCUCCACAGGGGACCGGAGCAGUGGGUGAUGUCAAUUGUACUUUUUGAACCUCCGGCCCCAGCUCCACCUUCUCUGGAACCACCGACACCAAUGCCACGGGGACCUCCUCGUUCCAAAGUUUUAACAGAUUGAGGUGGUAAAUCUGUAACGCCCCGCCCCUGUCCGUUCGCCGCACCUCAUAGUCGACGUCCCUGACUCGCCGUGUGACCUCAAAGGGUCCCUGCCACCUGGCGAUCAAUUUGGAGCUCGACGUGCACAACAACACGGGUAGUUUAUCUCCCGGUGUGAAUUCCCUAAGGCGCGUGCCCCUGUCGUACAGACGGACUUGACGUUCUUGGGCCUGCUGCAAAUUCUCCUGGGUUAGGUGUGUGAGGGUGUGGAGUUUGGUGUGCAGGUCGAUAACGUAUUGAAUUUCAUUUUUGCUUCUUGAAUGUCCCCCCUCCCAAUUUUCAUGCAGCACAUCUAAAAUGCCACUCGGCUUACGCCCGUAUAAUAAUUCAAACGUGGAGAACCCCGUGGAGGCUUGUGGGACCUCUCGCACUGCGAAUAACAGGGGCUCGAGCCAUUUAUCCCAGCUACGUGUGUCCUCGCUUACAAAUUUUUGAAUAAUGUUCUUGAGGGUGCGGUUGAACUGUUCGACUAAGCCAUCCUUUUGUGGGUGAUAAACGCUGGUGCAGAUAGGCUUAAUUCCCAGUAACCCAUACAGUUCACGCAGUGUGCGUGACAUAAACGUAGUGCCUUGAUCAGUCAGAAUCUCUUUGGGAGAGUCUGACACUCUUAGGAGAGUCAUAAAUGACAACACAUGUUCUCUUUGAGCAAGCUCUCUCUCGGAUCUCAACCAAAAUGUCAGACUCUGUAGAUGAUUUACUGGAAAUUUUUAAUUUAAAUAUGACCCAAAUUAUGGAUGAUAUUGCUCCAUUCAAAAUCAAAAGAGUCAAUGAUAAGCAGAAAGCACCAUGGAAGCAAUACCCAGCUGUUAAACUGUUAAAGAGAGAAUGUAGAAAGACUGAAAGAAAAUGGCGCAAAACUAAACUUCACAUCCAUUAUCAAAUCCAUAAAGAGAUGCUUUGUAAAUAUAAUUAUGAAAUUCGUAAAGCAAGACAGUCUUUCUUCUCCAACAUCAUCAACAGGAAUAUGAACAAUGCCCGUGUGCUAUUUUCAACAGUAGAGAAGCUAACAAAUCCCCCACCACAAUUAGCACCUGAACUUCUCUCAGUUAAUAAAUGCAAUGAGUUUGCAUCCUUCUUUAAAGGUAAAAUUGAUAAAAUAUGACAUAAUAUUGCUCAUAAUAUAUCUCAGUUGCAAAUAAUUGAAAAACUGCAAUCACCAGUGACACAGACAGAUAACUUCAACACAAUGUCAGAAUUUUGUUUAAUUGAUUAUGAGACUCUUGAAAAAACUGUACAAAAUCUCAGUUCCUCAACAUCUGAAUUGGACAUUCUGCCCACCAACUUUUUUAAGUCUGUUCUACAUCUUAUAAUUACAGAUGUGCUUCAAAUCAUAAAUACAUCCCUAGAGACUGGCAUUGUUCCUGUGUCCUUGAAAAAAGCCGUUGUAAAACCCCUACUUAAAAAGAAUAAUCUGGAUGCUUCAGUAUUAAAUAACUACAGGCCAAUAUCAAAUCUACCAUUCAUCGGGAAAAUCCUUGAAAAAAUUGUCUUCAAUCAAUUAACUGCCUUCUUGAUAUCAAACAGCUGUUUUGAUAACUUUCAAUGAGGAUUUCGUGCCAAUCAUAGCACUGAAACAGCGCUGAUUAAAGUAAUAAAUGACAUACGUCUUAAUACUGAUGCAGGCAAAACAUCGGUCCUGGUAUUACUGGACCUCAGUGCAGCUUUUGAUACUGCUGAUCACAACAUAGUGCUAUAUCGACUUGAACAGUGGGUUGGGUUGACUGGUAAAGUUAUCAAUUGGUUAAAAUCAUACUUAAAAGAUAGAAGCUUCUUUGUUACCAUGGGAAAUUGUACCUCAACGUCAAUGUCCUUGACCUGUGGUGUCCCCCAGGGGUCGAUUCUUGGACCAUUACUAUUCAACCUUUAUAUGCUCCCACUUGGGCAAAUUAUCAAGAACAAUUCAAUUUUAUAUCACUGCUAUGCAGAUGACACCCAAAUUUAUCUUGCUCUAUCACCUAAUGAUUAUGCCCCCCUUGAAUGUCUCUACCAAUGUAUCGAUCAAAUCAACAACUGGAUGUCACAAAAUUUUCUUCAGCUGAACACAGAUAAAACAAGUAAUUCUAUUUGGAAAAAAAGAUGAAAGACUCAGGAUUACCACUAUUCUUGACACAAAGGGGAUUAAAACAAAAGAAAUGGUUAAAAAUCUUGGUGUUUUCAUUGACAGCGAGCUAAACUUUGACAGUCACAUGAAAGCAAUCACUAAAACGGCAUUUUAUCACCUUAAAAACAUUUCCAAACUAAGAGGACUUAUGUCAAAAAAUGAUCUGGGAAAACUUAUACAUGCCUUCAUCUCUAGUAGGGUUGAUUACUGCAAUGGCCUUUUCACAGGCCUGCCAAAAAAAACCCUCAAACGACUUCAGCUGGUUCAAAAUGCAGCAGCUACGGUUCUCACACAAACAAAAAGAACAGAGCACAUUACUCCAAUUCUAAGGUCCCUUCACUGGCUUCCAGUAAGCUACAGAAUUGACUUUAAAGCAUUGCUGCUGGUGUACAAAUCUCUAUAGGGCCCAAUUACCUCUCUGAUAUGUUGCAGCAGCCUAACCCAAUCAGAUCUACCAGAUCGCAGCAGAAAAAUUUACUGUUAAAACCUGUUGUUAAAACAAAGUGUGGUGAAGCAGCUUUUAGCUACUAUGCAGUACAGCUAUGGAACCAACUGCCAGAGGACAUCAAAAAUGCUCCUGCUGUUGGCAGCUUCAAAUCUAGGUUAAAGACCAAGCUGUUUUCAGAUGCUUUCUGCUAAAUUAUUAAUAUUGCCAUCUCUACAUGUUUUAAACUCUUUACUUUUACAGUCUCUCCAUGUUUUAAAUUUUACUUAACUUUUAUUCUAUUUUAUUCAGCUUUUUUUUUUAAUUGAACUUUUAUCUCAUUUUAUUAUUUUAUUUCUACUAUUGUUUAAUUCUUAUUAAUUUUCUUCCCCAUUUAUUUUAUGUAAUUUUAUUUUCUAUUGUUUACUGUUUUGCUUUUACUUCUGUAAAGCACAUUGAACUGCCACUGUGUAUGAAAUGUGCUAUAUAAAUAAACUUGCCUUGCCUUUGGGGAUUCCGACUCAGGAGAUGACGUGGAAGAGUGCUUCCGCAAUACUGCGUGCUGAGAUAUUGCAAAGAGGCACUGCUUCUGGAUAUCGCGUUGCAUAGUCCACCAGAACUAAAAUAAAGCGAUAUCCUCAUGUUGACUGAUCUAAUGGCCCGACGAGAUCCAUCCCAAAUCUUUCGAACGGGGUCUCGAUUAAUGGCAGAGGGCGCAAAGGCGCUUUUGGAAUGGCCGCUGGAUUUACUAACUGCCAUUCGCGGCACGCCGUACACCACCUACGGACAUUGAUGCGAAUCCCUGGCCAAUAGAACCGGGCCAUUAUUCGGGCUAGUGUCUUAUCCUUCCCUCAGUGUCUGGCCAUGGGAUUAAAGUGAGCCGCCUGGAAUAUAAAUUCCUGGCCGCUCUUUGGGAUCAAAAGCUGUGUUAUCAGUUCCUUUGUCUGAGUGUCCUGCGUCACUUGGUAUAACCUAUCCUUAAUCAUGGAGAAACAGGGGAAGGACAGGGUGGCAUUUGGCUGGAGCGUUUGACCAUCGAUUACUCUCACUUGGUCAAACGCAUGCCACAGAGUCUCGUCUCGCGACUGCUCUAACGGGAAAUCCAUGAGGGAUUCCCUGAGAGAGGGAGGAGGAGCCUGCUGCUCCUCACUCUGACGUGGUGAUGACGUAGACGGCUCUGUGACAGCUGCUCCCACCAAUGCCACACCAGGACCUUCCCCCGCGAAAUUAUGGCAGGCCCCACUCUUCACUAAAUGUGACAUUAAUUCCUGGUGUCUCUCUCCCUUCUCUAAUGGAUAUUUAUAACUCCUGCCUCACCCGCAAAGCCAUCAGGAUUGCAGGUGACCCCACCCACCCAUCUCACAGCCUCUUCAGUCUGCUGCCGUCGGGGAGGAGACUGCGGAGUCUCCGGGCCAAAACCAGCAGGCUCAAGAACAGUUUCUUUCACCAGGCGGUCAGGAGGCUCAACUCCCUACCUGUUCUGCCACUCCUCCCCCCUCUGGCUCCUGCCACAGAUUCUGCUUGCACACCCCCCUUCAGCAUCUGACAUGUCACCCUCACACUCCCCCCCCCCCCCCAACACACACACACACACACACACACACACACACACACACACUCUCUCUCUCAACGUUCAUUAACGCACUGAACUCAGGGACUGCACAUUUCACUUUACCUCGCUCAUUUGCACUAUUCCACACUACCUCACCUUAACAGCCAUUAGUUUAUUGUUUAUACUGCUUAUUUAAUGUUUACCUGCUAUACCUCAAGUGCCCUUGACUGUUUAUUUGCACCAAUUUACGUGUGUGUGUGUGUGCGUGAGUGUUUUAGUCUAUGUCUAGUUCUUAUCUAGAAUCUUUAUACUGUUUAUAUUGUUUGUUUAUGAGUGUUUAGUCUAUGUCUAGUUCUUAUCUAGAGUGUUUAUACUGUUUAUAUCAUUUGUUUGAGUGUUUAGUCUAUGUCUAGUUCUUAUCUAAAGUGUUUAUUCUGUUUAUAUUGUUUGUUUUUUCAAUUAUUCUAUUUUUAUUUAUUGCAUUGCCUGCUUGCACCGUGGAUCAGAGAGGACUGAAAUUUCAUCUGUGCAGUAUGUUGAGCAUGUAUAGCAUAUUUGACAAUAAAGUUGACUUGACUUGAAAUCCCGGCCAAUCAGUCCCCAAAAUUAUCGAGUGCGUAAGGCGAGGAUUAACCGCCGCCUUUACUCUAAAUUUAUCCCCUCGAAAUAGAAUGUGGACCGACACUAAAGGGUAGUUGUAAACAUCCCCGUGCACACACAACACCUUCACCAAUUGUGCUCUCCCCAAUGCCUCAUCUUGCACCAGGCUUUGGUGGAUUGAGGUCUGAUUACAGUCGGAGUCCACCAAAGCCUGAUACGUAUCCCCUUGGAUACUCACCAGUAUGCGAUAUGCUCCGGCCCGAUUGAGGGCGGUCCCUGGCGCAUCGGGGAUCCGGACCACCGUGACAACCUCCAUUGCCGAGCACUGAUGCUGGAGGUGCCCCGGCUCCCCACAGCGCCAGCAUACCGGCCCAGGCUCUCCCUCUGCACCGGGGUUUCAGAGCUCACUCACCUGAGGGGGGGGAAGACACAGACAUGGAAGUAGGAAAUGGUAGGGCACCGCGGGUGCGGUGGGCCGGUUGGGGUGGAGCCAGCCCCAGCCUCCGCGGUGGGGGAAUGGGGUGAGGACGAGAAACAGAAGGGGAGAGAGAGAGAGAAGAGAGAAGAGGAGAUACGCUGUCCUGCUGUCGGAACAGCCGCCAUAUGGUCCUCCGCCAGCUCGAUGGCCUGAUCCAGCGACGCUGGGCGAUGGCACUGGACCCACUCUGCUGUUCCUUCCGGAAGUCGGGCGGUGAAUUGUUCCAGCGCCACCAGGUCGAUGAUUCCCUCGGCAUCAUGGUUGUUGGCCCUCAGCCACUGCCAGCAGGCGUCCCGGAGCUGCUGGCCAAAUGCGAACAACCGGCCAACAUCCUCCAGGCGCAGCGUGCAGAAGUGCUGCCAUUGCUGCUCCGAGGUGCACCUUACACAUUGGAGGACUGCCCUGUGGAGGUCGGCAUAGACCAGCCGGCUGUCGGCGGGGAGCUGUAGCGCAGCCAGCUGCGCCUCGCCCGUUAGCAGGGGGAGGAGGCGUGCCGUGCACUGUUCCACCGGCCAACCCUAUGCCUAAGCUGCCUGCUCAAAAAGAGCGAGGAAGGCUUCAGGGUCAUAGUGCGGACCUAUCUUCGUUAGGGUGAGGUGGGGAGGGUCCGCGGCGGUGGUGAUGGUGGACCCCGCCAACACGAGCAGGUGCCGGAACGCCUGGCGAUCUUCCUACUGUGCCAGCACCAGGGCUUCGAACCGUUGUUCUUGCUCCUUCCAGAGGGCAACCAGUGCCUGGUGCUGGCUCUGUUGGACCGAGGCGAGGGCAUGGACCAGGUCCUUGAAGGGGGAGGACUCCAUGGGGCUGUCUCCUUCUGCGCCCCGUCCCGGGUUUCGGCACCACUGUAGAACCAGAGCAAGUGGGUGGAGCACAGAAGCACGGCAGGCCAGAACUGAGUUCUCAGAAACUUUUUAUUUUCUGUUUUAUAGGUGGCUUUUCAGCUCAUUCACUCUCACACACACAUGCAUUCGGGUCAGGAGAGAGCUCCCUUUCUCUGCUCUCUCUCUCCUUUUAUAGGGCGCGGUCACUGGGGAAGACACACAAACACAGGUUAACUCACAUCAGGUGCAGUGAUUCUGCCACUUACCUUCCCUGACUCCACCUUCCAUUCACAGACCGACGCUUGACCAUGCCCCCGCUGCCACAUGGAAUUAAAAUGGAUUUUUGGAGAGUUAGCGCUAUUUGAUUUACACAACAUGUC